AAACCAACAGGGAUUGCCUUAGUAGCGGCGAGUGAAGCGGCAAAAGCUCAAAUUUGAAAUCUGCCUUACGGCCGAGUUGUAAUUUGUAGAUGGUAACUCUGUGGCAAGCCUUUGCUCAAGUUUUCUGGAAAGAAACAUCAUGGAGGGUGACAAUCCCGUGAGGCAUUGGUGCAGCUGCGUGUAGAGUGCUAUCAAAGAGUCGAGUUGUUUGGGAAUGCAGCUCAAAGUGGGUGGUAGACACCAUCUAAAGCUAAAUAUUGGCGAGAGACCGAUAGCGAACAAGUACUGUGAAGGAAAGAUGAAAAGCACUUUGAAAAGAGAGUGAAAAAGUACGUGAAAUUAUUGAUACUGAAGGGUAUAAAAUUGGACUCAAGGCCUAGGUUCGGUAGCCUCUCGGGGUUGCUUUGUCCUAGGCCCUAAACCAGCAUCAGUUUUGGCAGGUGGAUAAACAACAUGGAAUGUAGCUGCUUGCAGUGUUAUAGACUUGUUGCAUACACCUUGCCGGGACUGAGGACUGCCUUUGUAGGAUGCUGGGGUAACGAUUUUAUACCAC
rnacentral:rRNA from 1 species